GGACAGACCGUGGGAACUGAUGCGGGCACUCCUUUUCGUGGCGCCUCGGGGGGAAUGCGCGGCUGGUGCUCCCCCCGUAGCGCUGACGCAGGAACCUGGGGGGGGCCAAGGGGGAUUUCGACCGCGCGUUUCUCUGUCCUGUCCCCGGUCAAUGCUUGGUUAGCCGGUCUGGGUCUGCGCCCUCCUCAAGCUUGAGGCCAUCAGCCUUCCGCUUGGGGAGCCGGUCCCGAGGCCUGCACCUCAAGGGAAUGGACGGGGGCCGCAACAAGCGUGGAGGCAUGGGGUUCAAUUCGACCCAAGCGGAGAACCGUACCCAGGCUUGAACAGCGAGUGACCCUCGACGGAAAGUCGACUUCGGCAAGGACACUCGUAGAGGUGCUGCAUGGCUGUCGUCAGCUCGUGUCGUGAGAUGUUGGGUUAAGUCCCGCAACGAGCGCAACCCUUGUUUGCUGUUGCCAUCAGGUUAUGCUGGGCACUCUGCAAAGACUGCCGGUGAUAAACCGGAGGAAGGUGGGGAUGACGUCAAGUCAGUAUGGCCCUUACGGCCAGGGCUGCACACGUACUACAAUGCCCGGCACAAAGGGAAGCGAGACCGUCAGGUGGAGCAAAUCCCCAAAAACCGGGCCCAGUUCAGAUUGUCGUCUGCAACUCGACGGCAUGAAGCUGGAAUCGCUAGUAAUGGCGCAUCAGCUACGGCGCCGUGAAUACGUUCCCAGGCCUUGUACACACCGCCCGUCACAUCAUGAAAGCCGUUUGUACCCGAAGUCACCCCUGAAAAGGUGCCGAAGGUAUGGAUGGUGAUUGGGAUGAAGUCGUAACAUGGUAAAUCGG
rnacentral:rRNA from 1 species